ACAAAUAAAAAGAAUAAGAUAAUCAUGUAAAACCAGACUACAUUAGCACGCAUUUGGCAUAUUAUAUAGCAAUAUUUGGCCACAAUAUGGAUAACAUCCGGGUUAAGGUUAGUAAGCAAAAUAACUGCCCGCAAAUCCCAACGGACAUUGGCCCCAACAUGAUGCCACCCUCCAAGCAUUCUGCCCCCUCCCUCAAGCUCUCUCUCCAACUUGCUGUGCUCCAAACAAUCCUCCCAUCCAAACAAGCCUCAGACCAAAGUGCGCUACUCCUAAUUUGUCCAACUCCCUCACUCAGUGCCACAGCAAGGUGACAUAGCAGACACUACUUUUCUAUUCAGCAUGAACCCAAAGCAAAGAGUAGUCCAUUCCUCCCUGAAACGCCUGUGUGAAUGGUAGCAAAGGCGCAGAUGAAGCAAAGGGGUCAGUGCACAGUUCUUCAUCUCCCACCUUAUCCUCACAAGAACCCUGUGAGAUCCUCACACCAGCCACAUCACUGGCCUUCUGACCACCCUCCCCCCAGAGAAAAAUAUGGUAAAGGUGACAUUCAUGGAAUAAAUGACCUGGACUCUUUGUCGGGUGAGAUGGAGCUGGCGGUCAGUUUCUUGACCAGGAAAUGGCUGCUCUCACGUAGCACUGGAGAACUGUGGAUCAGUAUUCUCCAUUAAUGCAUCAUCCCUCACAACUGGACUCUUCAUAGAGAUUGUGUGAAAAAUUAGGAAGAGUUUUAAUGCUCUAAAACUAUGUAAAAGUUUUCUCUCUGCAUUACUUCCAUCUAGUUAGAUCUACCUACUGAAAAUGGAAAGCGUUCUUUGUAGUCUUUGUAUUGGCCAUUUAAAAGAGAUCUAGGAACAUAACACUCUAAAGUAAUAGAAAUACUUUUAUGCCAUACAUUCUCUUAAUUUAAAUAUAUGUUAUCCUGGGCAACUAUACUGUGCACAAUAUGCAUUAAAGGUUUGAUCAUUUUCAUUAAUAUUUGUAGGUAAUAUACUUUGGAAGUGAAGACUGCCUGGAAAAAAACAUGAUUAGAUUUGAGGUGUUAUUUUUAAUCAUUGUAUACGAAGGGCUAUAAUUAUUCCAUCCUGUUAUUUGCAAACGUAGUAAAAAUGAUUAUGAAGCAAGCUAGACUAAAAAACAAUAUAUGGAACAGAUAUUAAGGAUUAAAUGUAACAAUUGUAAAGGGCUGUAUGAUGUAGUUGUUGGGAAUUAGGAUCAUUUUAUAGAAUAAUGCUCUACUGCAGAAAUAAUGAGCACAAAGCAUAUUAUAUAAUAUUUCCACAUAUUAAAUAUUGCACAUUUUGAAAAGGAAACAUCAUAUAUAUGAUAUAAUAAUUAAGAGGCACCCAUGCAGUGCAUAUUAUAAAACAGUGCUACCAUUUUUACAAAACAAGGAAGUUGUGUGUUUAUGCACUCAUGUGAAUAGCAGUACAAUCACAGACACUAAAGAGGUCAUUAAAAUAUGCAAAAUAGUUAAUUAUACAAUUGCAUAUGUAUGAUCCAUAGUAUUACUUGCAAAUAAUUAUAAAUGUUUUCUGCUAAUAUUAAAUGCUUUGUAUCAUAUAUAAAUUACCAAAAAUGAAAUGCAAUUAAAUUAUAAGUUCCAGCUUUCCCUUAAAUUGUAUAGAAAAUAAUAAUGCAUCAUGUUACAAGACAUGAGCAUUUUUAGUAUAGUAUUGUACAGAAUAUCUAUUUCAACAAAAUAUUCAAUUUCAUUUGCAAAUAUAACAGUAGUGUACUACAUACUGUAUAUAAAAGAUUAGCAUAACUCAUAGGACAACAAAAUUACUGUUUUCAGGUAUAUUUAGAAGCAUUUUGUUAAAUUUAAAAAAACUACUCCGUGGCAGGUAAAUUUAGGAAAAAAUUUGGAGGGAGGAUUUUAUGCUCAAUAUAUUGUAUGUAAAAUCUAUGACAGAUAAAAAUCAUUAUAUGCAAAAAAUGAAUAUGACAGGCUUCUAAGAGUUUGCAUGUAAGCUAGAUUGUGUACAUAAGAUAUGAUAUAUCACUCAAAAUAUUAAAAUUCUAUGCAAAACUAACUAUGGAUUUUGCAUACAUUGAAUACAUAACAUGAAUAACCAAAUUGCAUUGAUGAAAAGUAGACAUUGUUAGCAUUAAUGGCUACCUUAAAAAUUCUUUGCACAUAAUUUAGGGACACAAUCUAGAACUUUGCAUGUCAUAUUUAAAGUUGGUUGAUUAAUGUACAGUAGAUAUGUUAUUUGUAAAAGCAUUAAUAACAUUCUGAGAUAGAUCAGAUAGAAAAUGUUAAAAACUGACAUUUAAAUGCCUACUGGAAAUAGAUAGGAGUUUUGUAAGCAUCUUCAAAGUAUAUGAUCAACAUAUGACAAUCUGAUAUGAAUAUAUGCAAAGUGGUGUUCAAAGUAAGAAGUGUCUGUUAAUUAAUCUAUACUCUUAGAGAGAAAGAUUGCCAUACUAAGAAUGAUUGUCUCCAAUAACUCAGACUAUUCUAUCAAACAACAAAUACGAGAAAGCUUCAAUCCAUUCUUGAAAUGUAAAAUAUGAUCCAUAUAUAUAUAUAGCCAUAUAUGGUGUGUGUGUGUGUGUGUGUGUGUAUAUAUAUGCCAACUUUUGCAACACUGCAUCUUUAAUAUUUUGCAUCCAAAGCCAUGUAGAAACACCAGUAUUAAGUGAAUGAAAUAUAGGAAAGCAUCUAACUUCACAUUAAUUUUACAUUAGCAUAUACACUGAAAAUCCUUAUUAUAUGAAAUAUAUUUAGGAUGUGUUCAAAACAUUGUACAAAAUACAAAACAUUAAGAGUAGUAGGAGCAGUUUGGUUACAAAGGUCAAAUUUGGUUAGUAAUGCAUAUAAACAUCCUGAAGCAUUUGGAGCAAAGGAAAAUCAGAAAUAAUACCUAUUGCACAUGAUACGUGCUGUUGGAUUGUGAUGUUUUAUUUGUCCUAAGACCGAGUUUCUCAUGCUUCACAUUUCUGCUGUUCAACUUUAUUGCAUACCUACCACAUGUUGCAUUGUUCAUUAUCUAUGGUGUGCUCUCAGGGACUAUAAAUUAAUUCUCAUUAGCCAAAUGCUUAAAGUUAAUAAUAAUAUGCACAAUAUUCACCGUAAAUAUAUAAUUCUGUUAGUAUUUAAUAGUUUGCAGUUAAUUUAAAGGACGUAGUACUAUCUGCACAGGGUAGUAAGAUAAUUAUACAAACAUAAUAAAAUUGUUUGUUUGGCAGACAAGCACACCAACAUUAACGCAAUACACUUUCAAUAUUAGGUGUCCACAGAAAACCCAGAAGCUGGUACAAAAUAACAAAUUUUGAUAAGCCAAAAUGCAUGGUGUGAAUUUUCAAUACUACUGCAAUGUAAACAUCCAUUACUGCAUACUUUCCAAAUUUACAUAUCACAUUAAAUCAGUAUUCCGUGCACAAUUAAAAUUGAGAAUGUUCUGUCCCAUAAUUAAAGUUGUCUAAAAUGCAUCCUGAAGAGAACAGGUAUUACAAAUGACAAUAUGGUUAAGAAUAAAAGUGCUUAAGUGAAGCAUUUUAGAAAUAGAGACCCCAAAACAAGGAGCUGUUGCAUUAACUGACGGGAGGUUAGAAUGGAAAAUUAUUUCCUCUGUUAUCUGAAUCAUCCUUCUUAUUCUGAGUCUACAGGUUGUGGUAAAUGGCAAUUAAAGGCAUUGUGAGUGAUACAGACAGGGGAUUCUAGACAUUGUACUCCGUAGGUUUUAUUUUAGUGUUAUGUGGAAUGCUAGCAAGCGAAGGGCAACACGCAGAAUUUUUAUUCGGUGGAAAAAAUACCUAUUCUAUUAGUUCCCAAGGGGGGUGGGAUGUUGUGUGCCACAGCUCAGUAUCACAGCCCAUAAGCAUUAUCACAAGAGGUGCUUUUGCACCAAUUUCACUGCAAAAUUGACAAAACAAACCUCCUCCCCUCCUCCUUUAAACUGGGAAAUCAGACUGGAUUCACUAUUUGAAGUAAUUUUAGACCAAAAGCUCAUUAGCCGCCUACAAAUAUGUGCUUAGUUUUUCUGCAACUAUAGCUACAGAAUUCCAGCCAUAUUAAACUGUUAAUUCAACCUCACUCUCGGCUUGGCUGGUGCUCCCAAGCCACAACCAACAUGCCUGAUGCUUUUAUGUCAUUUUCCUCUGUGUGUCUGACCACAAAGCCUUAGUCCAUGCUUGCUAAGAAGGCUGAGUCGUGUCCAGAGAUACCAAAGGCCAACAGCUAUUUUGUACACUUUUGGUUUAGCAUCUCUUCAGCAACAUAAUUUAAAAUCACACUUUGCUGUUUCAAUUAACUUUGCACAAACAUUGCACAUCCCAAUUUGCAAUCCAGUGAAGCCCCAAGAACAUUUAAGUACUGGAUUAUACCUCCUCUAGCAUAGCAGUGACAGACACACGUAUCUCAUGAACAAAUGCCAGGGGGUGGGUGGGGAGAAAUAAUAGGAAGUGAUGCCUCUCCAUUGACCAAAUGCAGCAAACAGGAGGGGGGAUAUCCUAAUGGAAAACCAGCUCCAGCAACCUCAAAAAUAAAUAAAUAGAUAGAUAACUAUAUAUAGAUAACUAUAUAUAACUAUAUAAUGAAUAGAUAGAUAGAUAGAUAGAUAGAUAGAUAGAUAGAUAGAUAUUCUGGGUUUCAAAAAAAUAUUGGUGUGUGAUUGGUCUUGGUGACUCUUUGUAACAAAAUAGAGUGGUUUGGUUUGUAUUAAAUUCAUGGUUUCCUUGCCACAGGGACUCAGAAGGGAUCCUGUGAAAGCUGUAGUUUUUCCAACAAAAUUGCUUUGAAAUAGAACACUAGAAACUUGUGGCAAGGAAAUAUUGGGAGUCUCAAAGGGUUAUUUGGUAGCACACCAACAAAGGAUGUUGUUAACAUUAAAAAUCAUGUUAAUACCCAAAGUUAAUUAUUAGCCAUAAAAUUGGCUAAUAAUGUCUAUGUGGUCGCUAAGAGUCAACACCGACUUGACGGCACGUAAUCAGUCAUUACAAAUGAUACUUUCCCCAUGUCUGAUCUAGAGGCCUUCUUCACCUGUAGCAAAAACUAUAACUCAGGAAUCUGUAACUCUUGCUUGAAGCGGCAACCUUUUACGUCCUGAUUUGUACCCCCAUAAAUAAAGAGAAUCUAGAAGUCCUGAUGCCCCCUCUAACUCCAUGCACAUUUCUGGUCAGCAUUUAGUUUUGCUAGAGCACUGUUUCAAGAUUGGCAUGAAUAGGUGGUCGCCCCCCCCCACAGCCCCACACUUGAAAACAGCUUUCUAGCUAAUUCUAUUGCCAGAACUGCAACUGCCUCCACACUCCUCUUUUACCUGUGGAUUGGCAAUAUGGUGGGCCAAAAGGCAGCUUUUAGGGAGCCAGGUUUGACUGAAGGGCCACCAGUCGCUGAACCAUGCAGCAUUUGGUUGUUUUUAUUUCACUGCCACCAUUUAACAGAGAAAAAAGUAGAAAUACUGAUUUGACAUCAAGAAUAAGACCUGAGCAAGCCACUUCAAUAAAGUAUGGUGGUGCCCCCUACCGAAGGAUUUGGGAAUGUCAGCUUCCAAGCAUCCACCUCCCAGCAAUCCAGGAAACACACGAAUAUGGACAUUACCACACACUGGAGAGGUUGCAGGAUUGCUCUACAGGAUCAGGCCAAGGCAUGCAACCAAAGGGCAAACAAAAACCAUUGGUCAGAGCAGCAGGUCAAGGUCCCAGAAGGCAGCCCAGGCAAGCAAGGCAGGUAUGGAGAGAGAAAGAAGUGAGACUGGUGGAACUGGGAGGCACCUUUGCAAUAUUUGCAGAGUAAAGCAGUCAGGACCCACAUACCCUGAGCAGCUGCUCAUGCAAUCUUGACAAGGUGAGGCUGGCCAGAUUGUAAACACCAGUCCUGGAUCCUGUCUUGGGCCCAAACACUGGGUCAGAACAUAGUCCUGUUGGCCAAGAAACACCAGAAUGGGAACUCCAGAUGAAGGGCAGGGCCUUCUGACUCUCUCACCCUCCAAAAGCCAGUCCAAUCCAUACCAGGGAUUUCACACUCCCCCGUGCCUUGCAUACCAGUGCUAAUGACAGGAGAAAGGAACUUAAUGGAGAGGAGAAAGAGUGUAAGACUCCAGGCCAUAAGGCUGCCCCUAUAAGGUUCUCUCCCUUGGCGCCGGGAAGGGUUAUCCUGUACCUAAUAGUAUUUCAGGCUUCAGACCAUCUCCAGGGCGCUUUCCAGACUAGCUGCUCAGCAGUAGCAAAAUGCCUCUGUUUGGGCAAGUCACAUGCGAAAGGUAAACAGUCUUGCAGCAACCAACCACCUGAAAAAAAAAGCAGCUUUUUCACACCAGAUAUACGAUGUCCUAGCUCUAUAUUGCAGCGACUGAAUUCAAAACAAGGCAUUGGAAAUGUGAACGGUACCCUGCUGUCUACGUAGGGACUGUGGUGUCACAACGCAGGAAGUGUGGAAGCACACUUCUAAUAAACGUCUGGACCCCGUUGUAGGGACUAGUCUGGAAAGCACCCAGAUCGUAUUGGAGCAAUGUUGCCCACUUUGUGCUAUCCAAGGUACUGCAACUCCAGCCUGCCUUGCUGCCUCUACCUUCCAGAUGCCUCAUCAGACCUCUUGGGUUCCUGCUCAUGGACAGAAUAAAACACAAGCAAGUACAGCAAAAAUAAGUAGGGGCAGAGUAAGAACAGAGUCUGUCAGUGGCACCCAGAGAUGCUUGAUUGCACAAAUUGGGCUGACAAGAAGAGGAAGUUGUACAGGAAUGGGUGGGGACUAAGCAGGAAGGGGUGGAGCAAAGCAAAGAGCAAGUACCAGUUGCAGGGGAGUAACAGCAGGGGAGAUGGCAUGCCCUUAACUCCUGCCUGUGGCUUCCAGCAGCAUCUGGUGGGCCACUGUGCGAAAUAGGAUGCUGGACUAGAUAAGCCUUAGGCCUGAUCCAGCAGGGCUGUUCUUAUGUAAACCUAAUUGGACUUUACAAAUGCAAUAUCAAGGCUCCAGCCUAGCCUUGGAAGGUUAAAAUUAACCGGUGGCUGAUGACCCCAACAUACCUCCCGAUAUCUGUGUGACUAAAACAUUUUCAGAAUUACAGAAGAUGCUAGCAAAGGUAGUGUGGAAGCACACUUCCAAAUGAGGCA